AGAGUUUGAUCCUGGCUCAGAUUGAACGCUGGCGGCAGGCCUAACACAUGCAAGUCGAGCGGAAACGAGUUAUCUGAACCUUCGGGGAACGAUAACGGCGUCGAGCGGCGGACGGGUGAGUAAUGCCUAGGAAAUUGCCCUGAUGUGGGGGAUAACCAUUGGAAACGAUGGCUAAUACCGCAUGAUGCCUACGGGCCAAAGAGGGGGACCUUCGGGCCUCUCGCGUCAGGAUAUGCCUAGGUGGGAUUAGCUAGUUGGUGAGGUAAGGGCUCACCAAGGCGACGAUCCCUAGCUGGUCUGAGAGGAUGAUCAGCCACACUGGAACUGAGACACGGUCCAGACUCCUACGGGAGGCAGCAGUGGGGAAUAUUGCACAAUGGGCGCAAGCCUGAUGCAGCCAUGCCGCGUGUGUGAAGAAGGCCUUCGGGUUGUAAAGCACUUUCAGUCGUGAGGAAGGCGGCGUCGUCAAUAGCGGCGUUGUUUGACGUUAGCGACAGAAGAAGCACCGGCUAACUCCGUGCCAGCAGCCGCGGUAAUACGGAGGGUGCGAGCGUUAAUCGGAAUUACUGGGCGUAAAGCGCAUGCAGGUGGUUUGUUAAGUCAGAUGUGAAAGCCCGGGGCUCAACCUCGGAAUAGCAUUUGAAACUGGCAGACUAGAGUACUGUAGAGGGGGGUAGAAUUUCAGGUGUAGCGGUGAAAUGCGUAGAGAUCU
rnacentral:rRNA from 1 species